UACGUAGGAUGCAAGCGUUGUCCGGAUUUAUUGGGCGUAAAGAGUUCGUAGGUGGUUCGUUAAGUCUGAUGUUAAAGACCGGGGCUCAACUUCGGGACUGCAUUGGAUACUGGCGGACUUGAGUGUGGUAGAGGCAAUCGGAAUUCCAGGUGUAGCGGUGAAAUGCGUAGAUAUCUGGAAGAACACCGGUGGCGCAAGCGGAUUGCUGGGCCAUAACUGACACUGAGGAACGAAAGCUAGGGGAGCGAAUGGG
rnacentral:rRNA from 1 species